GACGAACGCUGGCGGCGUGCCUAAUACAUGCAAGUCGAACGCACAGUUUAUACCGUAGCUUGCUACACCAUAGACUGUGAGUUGCGAACGGGUGAGUAACGCGUAGGUAACCUGCCUGGUAGCGGGGGAUAACUAUUGGAAACGAUAGCUAAUACCGCAUAAUAUUAAUUAUUGCAUGAUAAUUAAUUGAAAGGUGCAAUUGCACCACUACCAGCUGGACCUGCGUUGUAUUAGCUAGUAGGUGAGGUAACGGCUCACCUAGGCGACGAUACAUAGCCGACCUGAGAGGGUGAUCGGCCACACUGGGACUGAGACACGGCCCAGACUCCUACGGGAGGCAGCAGUAGGGAAUCUUCGGCAAUGGACGAAAGUCUGACCGAGCAACGCCGCGUGAGUGAAGAAGGUUUUCGGAUCGUAAAGCUCUGUUGUAAGAGAAGAACGGGUGUGAGAGUGGAAAGUUCACACUGUGACGGUAUCUUACCAGAAAGGGACGGCUAACUACGUG
rnacentral:rRNA from 1 species